ACCAGGGUCAUAAAACUACUCCUGGAAAUGCCCACAACUCCUACGAAAGCCUUGUCAAAUACGUGUUCUUGGGCGGCGAAAUGUCUAAUACGACCCUUUGCUGUUCUUGAUUCUUGAUUGUUUUCUUUCAGUAGAUGUUUAGCAAAUAGUAAUUUAAUUUUCAUGUCUCUGGCAUAGCAAGAUGAGGCACCAAUAUCUCCUCUUAGGGCUUUGUUAGCGGCAUAAGUUGGAACUUAUAAUAUUGCCCUAUCUGUAGACGGAGUUUUCUAUUCUCUGUAAUUUAGUGAUCUCUUCUUCAGUGAAUUCCAUAAUUUCAGCUGAAAAGAGCACUGCUGACAGUGCCCCCUUCCAGUAAGUUUUGCCAAUUAGUAAUCUGUUACAACAUCUUGCUAUUACACUGUAUGUAAUGUUAGCUAGCUCACUAGCUUUUGUUAGUCUUUGUUUUUUGAAGUCAUUGUUUAUUAAUUUUUGACUCCUUGGUAUGUUAUACUUUGAGUUACAAGAAUAUUUUCAAUACUAAUUUCUUGUUUCUGCUAUUUGCUGUAUAUUUUUUUAUACUUUCAGCUGCUUCUUCUAUUGAGUGUGAUAUAUAGCAUCUUCCAUUUGACACAAAACCCGGAACCACGUUCGGGGAUAAACCCAGACCCAGGGGGCGGAUUCUGAAACGAAGUUACGGCGUCGUAUCUGCUUAAGGCGCCGCAAGUCCGGUCGUACCGCUUCCGCUGGUAUACUCAAAACAUCGGCGCGGCCAUUUUGAGGAGAGUUACGGCGCCGCAGGUUAAGGCGGGUGUGGGCCGCCCUAAGGGCCGUACUUUAAAAACCUUUCGCCAGGCCUGGCACUGGAGUUCUCCGGGCGAUCCGAUAUUUGGUACCAUUAGACGGAAUGAACGCUUCGCCGGGCUAAGCCUCGCCAGCGCUGAGGACGAAAUAGUAAUGGAACUUGCCGCCGAACGAAAGUCCAGGCGGAGGCUUCCUUUCCCGCUGGCGAAAGGCAUAAAUUUGAAUUGUUUUACUAUGUCUGCAGUAGCAUGAGAAGUUGGACGAAUUAGAAAAGACACAAUAAUUUAUUUUUGCAAUAACUCAAGCAAGUUUUAUAAAUAUCGAUGUAUUUACAUCUUUUUUCAAGACUAUGUAGUAUCGCUCCAUGAGGAUUCAAGACGCCUGCCUCCUCCGGCCAACCCAAGAGGACCUGCUGGGCAGCGACGCCCUCAGCCUCAACACUGCCUUCCACGCCCUCAAGUGCACGCAAACCUUCCUGCAGAAGUCGGGGCAACUCGACAGGAUCUAACUCCCACCCUGGUGACAGGACGGCCAACACAUCUCUAACAAAAGCUUAGCCUCUGUUGUUUUGCCCAGUCAUGAGUCCCCUCAUACUCCUCCCACGUCUCACUUAGUUGCUUCCUCUGCCUCUAACCUUGAAGUAUGUUCAAAAGAUGGGAACCCUAAAAAAAAACUCACAUAGAACUUCCUUCUCCGCAAAAUCUGAGUAAUUCUUCUGUAAAUAACCUCUUCAUUACUUUUGUUCUUUUGAAUCUCAACUGUUUAAUCAAUAAAGUUAACUUUUUGGCAGAGUUCGUUUCUAGUCACAGUAUUGGGGUAUGUUGUGUUUGUGAAACUUGGUUAACUUGCAAUGUUUCUGAUCCAGUUAUCAGUAUAUUGGGUUAUAAAUUUUUCCGAAAUGACUCUCCCUUAAAUCUAAGAAUUCACGGUGUUGGGAUUUACAUUCGUGAUGAUAUUAAAGUGGGGAAAACUUAUUCAGAUCAUCCGAAUACUGUUGGGGUAUUUUUGCCUGAUUUUGGCGUUACUAUAUUAGCAGUUUACAGGCCCCCAAGUAAUUCUUUGAAAGAUAAUAUUGCUCCUGUUUCAUACCUGGAAUCUUUCUGUGUUGGUAAAGAAUUAAUACAGGUUGGUGACUUUAAUCUCCCUACUGUUGUCUGGUCCACUGAGGUUCCUUAUUGCACUUCCUCUAUUGAUAUUAGAUUUCUAGAUUUGUUUACAUCUUUGGGUCUCAUGCAGUGGGUUACGCAAAAUACCUAUGUCCGGUCUAAUAAUAUACUUGAUUUGGUCUUUACAUCUGAAGAUGAUAGAAUUUCCCAUGUUGAUAUAAUAGACCCCUUUCCAGGUUGUGACCAUUUUCCAGUUUUGUUUGAGUAUUUAUUUAGUUCUAAUCCAAACAUUAAUAAUGUACAUAACAACUUUGACUUUUAUAAUGGCAACUACACCUUGUUAAACCAUCACAUUUUGAAUUUUGAUUGGGAUAAUGAAUUCCUUGGCUUAGAUAUUGAACAAUCAUAUUUAAGAUUUAAAAGUUUAAUGCUUAAUGCCAUUCAGCUAUUUAUUCCAGUUAAGAAGACAACAGGAGUCAGGAAACCUCCUUGGGCAAAAUCUAUACCUCCUUCUCUAAAACGGCAUAAACGACAAGUAUGGUUGGAGUAUAAGGAUGCUCGGACAAAGUUUGGCAGAUCUUCCCCAAUAGCCUUGAGGUUGUGGCAUUCUUUUAAGACAAUAUCUCUUCAAUAUAAAGAUGCUGUCCAUCAAUCUGUAAUUAAAUAUGAAAGAUCUUUAGUUUCUCCCGGAAAUCCUGAUGUUAAAUGUUUUCACUCCUAUCUUCGUAGCAAGAAGGUUCAGCGUCCUACUAUUGGACCGCUGUCGAGUUGUCGAGUUGUUUCAGAGACCAUUUGGCUUAGAUAAUUUUUUUCUAAAAAUUCGAUCAUUCUAUGUGACUCGCCUUCUGUACCUGACAAUGUCGCCCAGUCGAUAUGGGGGAGGUUAAAGUCUUCUAAUAUCAGUGAGUCGCUGUUAUUAAGUGACUGUCUUAAAAUGCUGUACAUUUCAAGGUCGCCAUUGAGUGAUUG